GGUAGCGUGGCCGAGCGGUCCAAGGCGCUGGUUUAAGGCACCAGUCUCUUCGGGGGCAUGGGUAAGAAUCCCAUCGCUGCCA
rnacentral:tRNA from 1 species